ensembl:misc_RNA 7SK 7SK RNA
GGAUGUGAGGGCAAUCUGGCUGUGACAUCUGUCACCCCAUUGAUCUCCAGGGUUGAUUUGGCUGAUCUGGCUGGCUAGGCAGGUGUCCCCUUCCUCCUUCACCACUCUAUGUGCAUCCCUCCCGAAGCUGCAUGCUUGGUUGAAGAGGACAGCCUUCCCCAAAUAGAGACAACCGGUCCUCAGUCGAGGGUAUAUGAGUAGCUGCGCUCCCCUGCUAGAAACUCCAAACAAGCUCUCAAGGAGUAGAGUAUUGCAACUGCAGAAACCAGUUGAAGCAUUAAAAAAAAAAAAAGUUUUGCUUUUCAAGAGAAUACAGUUACUU